rnacentral:rRNA from 1 species
CCUACGGGGGGCAGCAGUGGGGAAUAUUGCACAAUGGGCGCAAGCCUGAUGCAGCGACGCCGCGUGGGGGAUGACGGCCUUCGGGUUGUAAACUCCUUUCGCUAGGGACGCGGUACCUAGAUAAGAAGCACCGGCUAACUACGUGCCAGCAGCCGCGGUAAUACGUAGGGUGCGAGCGUUGUCGGAAUUACUGGGCGUAAAGGGCUCGUAGGUGGUUUGUCGCGUCGUCUGUGAAAUUCCGGGGCUUAACUCCGGGCGUGCAGGCGAUACGGGCAAACUUGAGUACUGUAGGGGUAACUGGAAUUCCUGGUGUAGCGGUGAAAUGCGCAGAUAUCAGGAGGAACACCGAUGGCGAAGGCAGGUUACUGGGCGUACUGACGCUGAGGAGCGAAAGCAUGGGUAGCGAACAGGAUUAGAUACCCUUGUAGUC